CCACACCCAUGUUUACAAGUUGAUCGCCAGGUGCAAGUUCAUUGUAUACCAACGAAUCCAAUUGAAUGCGCUCAGUAAAUUUAUAAGACUCGCAACACGCUAUUACUGGAACAUUAGACUCGUGUCCCAAAAGGGAAAUUAAAGAGGUACCGGCACGAGAAUAUAGAGCACCAUUCGAAAGCAUAGCAUGGCCUCCAAGGAAAAUUUUGGUCACUUCUUGCAUGAUAUAGGAAAGCGCUGAAAUCAUGACAUAGGUACAUUCAAUCCCAUGCUCGGUCAACAGCUUCAAACAAACCCGGCCUUCAAAUUCUGGACGAGAGUCUACCACGACAACCCGGAAUUUUUUACCAACAUUCUUAGCAUGAAUGAGAACAUCGUUUACUGUCGAAGAGUGCAAGUACGUUAAAAUGACAUCUCCGUCUUGUAUUUUUUCGGUUGCUGCUUGUACGAUGACUUGUCCUGCAAUGAUAAUACGAUCGCGAAUAUAACUGUCAAUUUUUUCCAGAAGCAAUUCUUUUCCCUCGUCGUCGGUAAGGUCAAUGUCUAAAACAGAAAUUUCGAGUUUUAAAAAGCGAAUGGCGUUCCCCAUACUGAUACUCAACGGACGAGUUGAUACUAAAUAAGCAAUUUGAGAAUUUAUAUGCGUGGUCAGAUGCCUGCUCAACGUCGUACCGUAGGGUGUUUGAUAAUCUUGGAUGACGAUUUUAAAAGUUUUCAACAAAUCAAUACAGCGCUGAUUCGAUCCAAAAAUCUUAUAAUUUGCAAGUUUUAAACCCAAACGAAUAACAGCAGGAUGGAUAUCUUUCGGAAUAUUUUCAGUGGUUCUACGACGUCUCCAAUCGAGGUGCGAAAAGAUAGAAACUUGCUUUUCCUCAAAAAUCUUUUUUUCUUGCAAAUUAGCAUCAGUUUCUGGACUAUUCUGCGGGUUUUGUUUCGAUGCCUUCUUUUGUUGGUUACUAUUUUUAUUAGGGAUAGCUACCUUUUUUUCUUCUGAAACACCGGGUGGAUUAUUCGCGGCAGCUGCUUCGGCUUUUGCUCUUCUACUUGCUUGUUUUCUGGCCUUUUUCAACGCUUUUGCCUCCUUCCCUGAAAGUUUUGGCUCAUUGGGAGAAACGACAGAAGAAGCUGUAGCUGGAGAUGUUCCUCCCACACUAGAGCUUUCACUAACAGGGCUUUGAUCCUUCCCAUCCUUUUUUGCUUGUUCUGCUGAGAACCCCAUCAGAAAAUCAAUAUUUCUAU